rnacentral:sRNA from 1 species
UACAGAAGGAAGAGCUGUGUUCCCGAGA